GCUGGAGUAGCUCAAAUGGCUCUGGAGCAACUGUCUUGUAAACAGUAGUUGUGAGUUCGAGGCUCACCUUCAGCA
rnacentral:tRNA from 1 species